CCUACGGGGCGCUGCAGUGGGGAAUAUUGGACAAUGGGCGAAAGCCUGAUCCAGCCAUGCCGCGUGUGUGAAGAAGGCCUUCGGGUUGUAAAGCACUUUCAGUGGGGAAGAAAGCCUUGGGGCUAAUACCCUCGAGGAAGGACAUCACCCACAGAAGAAGCACCGGCUAACUCCGUGCCAGCAGCCGCGGUAAUACGGAGGGUGCGAGCGUUAAUCGGAAUUACUGGGCGUAAAGCGCGCGUAGGCGGUCUGAUAAGCCGGUUGUGAAAGCCCCGGGCUCAACCUGGGAACGGCAUCCGGAACUGUCAGGCUAGAGUGCAGGAGAGGAAGGUAGAAUUCCCGGUGUAGCGGUGAAAUGCGUAGAGAUCGGGAGGAAUACCAGUGGCGAAGGUGGCCUUCUGGACUGACACUGACGCUGAGGUGCGAAAGCGUGGGUAGCAAACAGGAUUAGAUACCCGGGUAGUC
rnacentral:rRNA from 1 species